UACGUAGGGGGCAAGCGUUGUCCGGAAUUACUGGGCGUAAAGCGCACGUAGGCGGCUUUGUAAGUUAGAGGUGAAAGCCCGGAGCUCAACUCCGGAACUGCCUUUAAGACUGCAUCGCUAGAAUCCAGGAGAGGUGAGUGGAAUUCCCGAGUGUAGAGGUGAAAUUCGUAGAUAUUCGGAAGAACACCAGUGGCGAAGGCGGCUCACUGGACUGGUAUUGACGCUGAGGUGACGCAAAGCGGUGGGGAGCGAACAGG
rnacentral:rRNA from 1 species